GGACUUUUAGCUUAAUGGUAAAGCAACCGCCUCAUAAGCGGUAAGAUGUAGGUCCGAGUCCUGCAAGGUCCA
rnacentral:tRNA from 1 species